GUCUGCUGCGAGACAUGAGUCCCACUGACACAUUCUAUCUGCAUUUGUUGAACAUAAGGCGAGAAAAAUUGUACCUGCUGUCCCUGCUUUCAGUCUCUCGGAGCAUUCAGACAAAGUUUCAGUAACUCAUCUGAAGACACUUUUGAUUGAUGGCCUCAGCAUUGUCCAUGUUGACAUCCACCUCACAGAAACCAUACCUAGGAUUGAGUGAUCUCCAUGAAUCAUUCAGUUGAGCUAUACAAACGGAUCUUCCCACAUUACCUAUGGACACACCCCCAAGACACCAGAAACGGAGGACCAUUAUCCUCGGCCUACAAGGGAUCGGCUAAGUAAGUAAGUACUGAAAGCAAGUUUGUGCAUUUUCCCCCUCUCAGUUGUACUCAUUUAUAU
rnacentral:lncRNA from 11 species